GUGUCAGCAGCCGCGGUAAUACAGAGGGGGCAAGCGUUAUUCGGAAUUAUUGGGCGUAAAGGGCGCGUAGGCGGCCUAGCAAGUGGCGGGUGAAAUCCCUCGGCUUAACCGAGGAACUGCCUGCCAGACUGCCUGGCUCGAGACCGGGAGAGGUGAGUGGAAUUCCCAGUGUAGCGGUGAAAUGCGUAGAUAUUGGGAGGAACACCAGUGGCGAAGGCGGCUCACUGGACCGGAACUGACGCUGAGGCGCGAAAGCGUGGGGAGCAAACAGGAUUAGAUACCCUGGUAGUCC
rnacentral:rRNA from 1 species